AACGAACGCUGGCGGCAUGCCUAACACAUGCAAGUCGAACGAGAUCUUCGGGUCUAGUGGCGCACGGGUGCGUAACGCGUGGGAAUCUGCCCUUUGGUUCGGAAUAACAGUUGGAAACGACUGCUAAUACCGGAUGAUGACGAAAGUCCAAAGAUUUAUCGCCAGAGGAUGAACCCGCGUAGGAUUAGCUAGUUGGUGUGGCUAAGGCGCACCAAGGCGACGAUCCUUAGCUGGUCUGAGAAGAUGAUCAGCCACAAUGGGACUGUGACACGGCCCAGACUCCUACGGGGAGUAGCAGUGGGGAAUAUUGGACAAUGUGCGAAAGCCUGAUCCAGCAAUGCCGCGUGAGUGAUGAAGGCCUUAGGGUUGUAAAGCUCUUUUACCCGGGAUGAUAAUGACAGUACCGGGAGAAUAAGCUCCGGCUAACUCCGUGCCAGCAGCCGCCGUAA
rnacentral:rRNA from 1 species